CACGGGCUGAUUUAUGUUGCUGUUUACUCCAUGGGAGCUGAAGCUGCCGGGAAUGGAAAGGUCUCUUCUCUGGAACCAGCUGGGCAGGACAGCGUUUCACAGCCCCGGGAGGGAUGGCUGAUGGGAACCGACCCACGCUUCCUAUUCUUUAUCCGUCCCACAAUAUUCGAGUCAAAACAUAAUGUGGACACCUGACAGGGUGAUGGCCAUCUGCUAUCCUUUUGUUUUCUAGUCCCGGCUAUCGAGGCUCUGUCAGAAACGACAAAGUCUGUUCUCACAAAACAGUCUGAAAUACUGCGACACUCGGAAGCAUUUUCUCACGUGAUCCCAGAAAAUGCGGGCUGAGGUCAUUUACAUGAAGGAGGCAUCUGCUUUAAAUGCUCUGAGGGUUUUAGGUCAAACCCCUGACGUUCAGAGGUGUGUUUCCGACGGGGAGCGGCAAUGCCGAGGGCUGGCUCUGCAGCGUCUGCCUGCUGCCGGCCUCCGGCCGCCGCCGCGGGACCGUGCCGGGCUCUCCUCUGCGGGACGGAGGGCGUUCAGGCCAGGACUGCGAGAGGCCUCCGCCUGGCCGUUUCUGCAGGUAGGGCUGUGCAGGCCACGCUGAAGUUGCUUUCAAAAUCCCGGCUGUGCGUGCACUCUCGUCACAUCGCUUGUCUUUUUGUGUAUGCUCAGGACUUGAGAAAUAAGCUUUGACAUACAGAAAAAAACAAACCCAAACAGAAAUCAAAGAAGAGAUUACUGAUAAAAAGGAGAGAGCAGAGACAGAGGAGCAGCUGUCAGGCCGGACAAUGAAUGCUGCACAAAAGAAAGGGCAAAUCUGCUGAAAAUAAUGCCCAGGAAGCUAAAGCUGCGUUGCUGGUAUGUGGGUAGAACUGGGUAGAAUUGUAUUUUCUGAAGCAAAUGUAUAAGCUGUUUUGAAGUGUCCAAUACUUAAAAACAGAAGACAUAAAUCCUAUUUCAUUGA